GAAAUGCGAUAAGUAGUGUGAAUUGCAGAAUUCAGUGAAUCAUCGAAUCUUUGAACGCACAUUGCGCCCUUUGGUAUUCCUUAGGGCAUGCCUGUUCGAGCGUCAUUUAAACCUUCAAGCUCAGCUUGGUGAUGGGUGACUGUCCCCCCCCCUCGCGGGGGGACUCGCCUCAAAAACAUUGGCGGCCGGUACAUUGGCUUCGAGCGCAGCAGAAACGCGGUCUCGAGUCCUGUGGAUCGGCUCCCAUAAGCCUCUUCUUUUAUUUUGACCUCGGAUCAGGUAGGGAUACCCGCUGAACUUAAGC
rnacentral:misc_RNA from 1 species